rnacentral:rRNA from 1 species
UGUUGCGGUGAAUACGUUCCGGGUCUUGUACACACCGCCCGUCAAACCAUGAAAGUGACCAACACCGAAGUCCGAUUCGUCGGCCUAAGGUGGGGGCAUGAGUUGGGUU